AGACCGAUAGCGAACAAGUAGAGUGAUCGAAAGAUGAAAAGUACUUUGGAAAGAGAGUUAAAAAGCACGUGAAAUUGUUGAAAGGGAAGCGCCUGCAAUCAGACUUCGCGGCAGUGUUCCGCCGGUCUUCUGACCGGUUUAUUCUCUGUCGCGAGGCCAUCAUCGUCUCGGCCCGCUGGAUAAGACCUUGGGAAUGUAGCUCACCUCCGGGGGAGUGUUAUAGCUCAUGGUGAUGCAGCGAGGCUGGGGCGAGGUCCGCGCUUCGGCAAGGAUGAUGGCGUAAUGGUUGUCGGCGGCCCGUCUUGAAACACGGACCAAG
rnacentral:rRNA from 1 species